rnacentral:rRNA from 1 species
CUUCUUGAAUUCAUUGGAAGUCGGGCCUGUCCACUGAUUAAUUAUUAAAGGACCGCGGUACUUUGACCGUGCAAAGGUAGCAUAAUCAUUAGUCUUUUAAUUGAGGACUGGAAUGAAUGGUUUGACGAAAUAAUUACUGUCUAUAUAUAAUUAAUUGAAUUUUACUUUUGAGUUAAAAGGCUUAAAUAUUAUUGAGGGACGAGAAGACCCUAUAGAUCUUUAUUAUAAUAUUUAUAUUGUGAGGUUGGUUGUUUAAUUGAAUUUAAUAUAUUAUAUAUUUUAUUGGGGUGAUGAAGGAAUAUAUUAACUUCUUAAUUUUUGACUUUGAUUUUUGAAUAAAAGAUCCUUUAUUAUGGAAUAGAGAUUAAGAUACCUUAGGGAUAACAGCGUUAUUUUAUUGGAGAGUUCUUAUUGAUAAUAUAGAUUGCGACCUCGAUGUUGGAUUAAGAAUAUAUAAUUGGUGUAGUAGCUAUUAUUAUUAGUCUGUUC